AGCGAACGCUGGCGGCAGGCCUAACACAUGCAAGUCGAACGAACUCUUCGGAGUUAGUGGCGGACGGGUGAGUAACACGUGGGAACGUGCCUUUAGGUUCGGAAUAACUCAGGGAAACUUGUGCUAAUACCGAAUGUGCCCUUCGGGGGAAAGAUUUAUCGCCUUUAGAGCGGCCCGCGUCUGAUUAGCUAGUUGGUGAGGUAAAGGCUCACCAAGGCGACGAUCAGUAGCUGGUCUGAGAGGAUGAUCAGCCACAUUGGGACUGAGACACGGCCCAAACUCCUACGGGAGGCAGCAGUGGGGAAUCUUGCGCAAUGGGCGAAAGCCUGACGCAGCCAUGCCGCGUGAAUGAUGAAGGUCUUAGGAUUGUAAAAUUCUUUUACCGGGGACGAUAAUGACGGUACCCGGAGAAGAAGCCCCGGCUAACUUCGUG
rnacentral:rRNA from 1 species